AAUGGGGGAAUCUUAGACAAUGGGRGCAAGCCUGAUCUAGCCAUGCCGUGUGAGUGAUGAAGGCCCUAGGGUGUAAAGCUCUUUCACCAGGGAUGAUAAUGACAGUAUCCGGUAAAGAAACCCCGGCUAACUCCGUGCCAGCAGCCGCGGUAAUAUGGAGGGGGUUCGCGUUGUUUCCAAUUACUGGGGGUAAAGCGGACGUAGGCGGAUUAAUAAGUUUGAGGUGAAAUCCCAGGGUCAACCCUGGAGAAAUGCCAAAAACUGUUAUUAUUGUGAGUGAAAGAGGUGAGGGGAAUUCCAAGUGUAGAGGUGAAAUUUGUAGAUAUUUGGAGGAACACCAGUGGGGAAGGCGGCUCACUGGCUCUACACACUGACUGAGGUACGAAAGUGUGGGGAGCAAACAGGAUUAGAUACCCUGGUAGUCCACACCGUAAACGAUGAAUGCCAGACGUCAGCAAGCAUCUUGUUGGUGUCCCACCUAACGGAU
rnacentral:rRNA from 1 species